GGGGCGGAGAGCUGGAAGGGAGGCUCACUUCUAGAAGAGAUGGAGUUGGAGCGAGAACGAGAAAAUAGAAGAGCCAGAGGACAGAGGAAGAAAAAUUGUAAAGGAGGAGAUGAAUCAUUCACUGGGGACAGCUCUGGACUCUUAUCAGCCCUGAGAUGCACCAGAGAAAUCUAGGCAAUGACCAGCAAUGAAUGAAACCAUGAGAUGAAGGAUGACGGAGAACUUUACGAUGGCUUGCCUACGUGGACACCACCUGAAUCCACUCAUUAAUCUACUUAUCACUAAAAGAGGGACAUUGCGUACCUCCUGAUAUGAGGCAAUAUACAGCAAACAGAACCAUCUAUGAAGAAUUCUUGCCAAUAAAGGAGUCGAACCUGAACAAGACUUUAACUUCAAUGUACAGGAAAUACACCAGCUAGAAGAGCACAAAAAAGGAAAUAAUGAAACAAAUGAGCAAACUCCAAGUGGGUAGGGUGACCAAGAACCAAAGAGGUGUUAUGUAUAAUUAUGCUGGGGCAAAAGACAUAAACUGGGACUGUACCAGACACAACUAGAAGAAUGGUUUUCAUUCUUGAGUUUGCUGAUUGCAAUGACAUGGCCCCCGUUUUGCUCACCUAUUUCCUUCUUUUGGCAUUCACUCGACAUUCAAAAGUCUGUUUCCUGAGUCAGGCCAGGACACUAGUCCCAUGUCUGUUGAGUCUGCAGUAGAGACUGAAAAAAACCUGCCCAUUUGAUCCUUGGAGGCUGGAAGCACUCGCAUCUCCUCUGGCUCCCAGGCGGAGGUGUCCCCAAGCAAGUCUGUGGGCGUGGAGGCUACGUUAUGAAAUGCUCCCCCUUUGCCUUUCUUUUCAGUGCUUGUAAUACAAGCUCACUGUAGAAAAAUUGAAAACUACAUCUAAGGACAAGAAGAAAAUUUUCACAGUAGCCCAGGGUGAAAUGCUAUUAAUAUUAAAGUGCAUGUGCUUUUAGACAUACAUAUGUAUAUUAUAUUUUUUGUACCAUCAUGUCAUCAUAUUGUAUAUGCUAUUUGGAAAUUUGCUCUUUUUCACUUAAUAUUAUAUCAUUAACAUAUUACCUUGUCAAUGAAUUCACUGCUACAGCGAA